GACGGGGGGUCCUAGCGUUGUUCGGAAUCAUUGGGCGUAAAGCGUGUGCAGGCGGUCUAGAAAGUUGGAUGUGAAAGCCCCGGGCUCAACUCGGGAAGUGCAUUCAAUACUCCUAGACUUGAGUAAGGAAGAGGGUCGUGGAAUUCCAGGUGUAGUGGUGAAAUACGUAGAUAUCUGGAGGAACACCGGUGGCGAAGGCGGCGACCUGGUCCUAUACUGACGCUCAUACACGAAAGCGUGGGGAUCAAACAGG
rnacentral:rRNA from 1 species